rnacentral:rRNA from 1 species
CCGACGGUGAGGGGUGAAGGCUGGGGGCGCAAACCGGAUUAGAUACCCGGGUAGUCCCCAGCAGUAAACGAUGCCAGCUAUGUGUUGCUGGAACCAUGGGUUCCAGCAGUGCCGAAGGGAAGCCGUGAAGCUGGCCACCUGGGAAGUACGGUCGCAAGGCUGAAACUUAAAGGAAUUGGCGGGGGAGUACCACAACCGGUGGAGCCUGCGGUUUAAUUGGAUACAACGCCGGGAAUCUUACCGGAGGGGACAGCAGUAUGAAGGCCAGGCUAAAGACCUUGCCAGAUCAGCUGAGAGGAGGUGCAUGGCCGUCGCCAGUUCGUACCGUGAGGCAUCCUGUUUAGUCAGGCAACGAUCGAGACCCGCAGUCUUAUUUGCCAGCAUGCCCUUUGGGGUGUAUGGGUACAAUAAGACGACCGCCAGCGCUAAGCUGGAGGAAGGAGCGGGCUACGGUAGGUCAGCAUGCCCCGAAUCCUCCGGGAUACACGCGGGCUACAAUGGUCAGGACAAGAGGUACCGACCUCGAAAGAGUGAGGUAAUCCACAAACCUGAUCUCAGUCCGGAUCGAAGGCUGCAACUCGCCUUCGUGAAGAUGGAAUCGGUAGUAAUCGUGACUCAAAAUGUCACGGUGAAUAUGUCCCU